UGGGGAAUAUUGCACAAUGGGCGAAAGCCUGAUGCAGCAACGCCGCGUGAGUGAUGAAGGCCUUCGGGUUGUAAAGCUCUGUCUUUUGGGACGAUAAUGACGGUACCAAAGGAGGAAGCCACGGCUAACUACGUGCCAGCAGCCGCGGUAAUACGUAGGUGGCAAGCGUUGUCCGGAUUUACUGGGCGUAAAGGAUGCGUAGGCGGAUUUUUUAAGUGAGAUGUGAAAACCCUAAGCUUAACUUGGGGACUGCAUUUCAUACUGGAAAUCUAGAGUGCGGGAGAGGAGAAUGGAAUUCCUAGUGUAGCGGUGAAAUGCGUAGAGAUUAGGAAGAACACCAGUGGCGAAGGCGAUUCUCUGGACCGUAACUGACGCUGAGGCAUGAAAGCGUGGGUAGCAAACAGGAUUAGAUACCCUGGUAGUCCACGCCGUAAACGAUGAGUACUAGGUGUAGGAGGUAUCGACCCCUUCUGUGCCGCAGUUAACACAAUAAGUACUCCGCCUGGGGAAGUACGAUCGCAAGAUUAAAACUCAAAUGAAUUGACGGGGG
rnacentral:rRNA from 1 species